rnacentral:rRNA from 1 species
UUAUCGGAAUUACUGGGCGUAAAGCGCGCGUAGGUGGUUUGUUAAGUUGGAUGUGAAAGCCCCGGGCUCAACCUGGGAACUGCAUCCAAAACUGGCAAGCUAGAGUCUUGUAGAGGGGGGUAGAAUUCCAGGUGUAGCGGUGAAAUGCGUAGAGAUCUGGAGGAAUACCAAUUGCGAAGGCAGGUUACUACUAAUAUAUUGACGCUGAUGGACGAAAGCGUGGGGAGCGAACAGGAUUAGAUACCCUGGUAGUCCACGCCGUAAACGAUGGAUACUAGCUGUUCGGAGCAAUCUGAGUGGCUAAGCGAAAGUGAUAAGUAUCCCACCUGGGGAGUACGUUCGCAAGAAUGAAACUCAAAGGAAUUGACGGGGGCCCGCACAAGCGGUAAUCGAA